GCAUUGGUAGUUCAGUGGUAGAAUUCUCACCAUCCAUGCAGGAGACCCAGGUUCGAUUCCCAGUCAAUGCA
rnacentral:tRNA from 1 species